CCCCUCUCAGGAUGGCAUCUGUAGAGUUUCCAGUACUCUACCAGUCUUGACUAUGGGAGAAGAGUUAAGCAGAGGCAUACCCAUUCCAUUCCUAGCUUGUCCAGUAGCUGGCAAGUGGAAGGCAAUCUGCCACAAGU